GAAGGAGUUCACGGCCUAUGUUGCAUGGAUACGUCACCUAACUGCCGUAUCGGUGCAGGAUACUGCACUAGGACGGGGAUACGCGUGGAUACGCGUGGGAUACCCGUAUCUCAACGUACCACGUUUUUUGCAAAUUAAAAUAAAGAGAAAAAUAGGGAUACGGCUGGGACACGGGGGGAUACACUCGGGAUACUUUUUAGCCUGUUAGCACUCGAUCUCCAGUCCAACAAAAGCCUACUCGCGAUGGGUAAAUAAACCUAAUCGCUUGAGUCCAUCGUGCCGUCACCUGCAGUUGCCAAGGGCUGGAGCCGCGCGCAUCUCCGUACUCCCUUCCGCCGCUGCCGCCGCCGCCGGCGGCAUCUCGCAGCUCGCCACCGGCCUCCGUUCUCGGUUCUCCAACUCCAAGUCGGCAAGUCUUCCCCAUCCUGAAUCUGAAUACAAGGACUGUAUACAAGGAGUGGAGUCAGGACAUGAUAAGGCAGCAACUUCUUCAGAUAACCCUCAAUGAAAAAAGAUCAGGUUACUUCAUAAGCAUCAAUUUUCUCAUCCUCUAAAAAAAUUGUGUUUUGGUGCUGAUUUUUUUAUGCAUUCAUACAUAUACUCGCCGUAUCCCCGUAAGCCUAUUUUCAGAAAAUGCCGUUUUCUCGUAUCGCCGUAUCCGUAUCCCCGUACCCGUAUCCCCGUACCAUGUAACGUAGUUCACGGCGGCGAGUUUCGUGGAUGGAGUUCCUGAUGCAACCAAUUAGGAGGUCCGCGGUGAUGGAGGACGUGAAUGACAACCAGCUGCCAAUGGAGCCGGUGCACUACCCAGCGGUCCCCCAUGGCCACUGUAAGCGUUGACGGGCAGAUCUGUGCGGCGGAUGGGGCAGUUGCGGUGGAGGGGAAUGAUGAACCGCAGGCGUCUGAGCAAUCUAUUGGCUAGGUUAAUCCAAAAACACCAGGCUGGACUCGCAGGCUUAGGAUUGGUGCUGCCGCACCGAGCAGAACACCAUGCCCAAAUCGAAUCAGUGCGUUUGAGAAGGCAGUCAGGUGUUGCGGAGAGAACCCAGCUGAAAACGUGAUCACACCGGUUCUCGGUACUAGUUUCGACUCUUUGGGCGAAACAUACGACUUGUGUGUACAUGUAGGUGGAUAUCAUCGGAAAGCACGGUAAAACUGGUGUGUCGUCCUUGUGUACCAUUUGAGAUGAUGUUAUGUCGUACUUCAGCAAGUCAGCAGAUAACUGCUUCUGUAUUGACACCGUGUGCAAGAAUCGGACAACACCAGAGUUUGCUUGACAUAAAAGUCAUAAGUUAGUGCAGAUAAAAGCGCGUCAAAUGAAAUCAACAACUGUCAUAAGCUUAGUUGGGAGCUUGAAACUAGAGAGUGAAGGUCUUACUGAGAAUUCAGGUUCAAUAGGGUGCCUCCAGCUUAAAUAAGGGUUUUCGGUUUCUGCUUCAUCAUGUCAAGUUGGACGUGGCCUCGUGCAGUUGCGAGGUGCGAGAGGCAACGAGCAUUUAUUUCCUUCAAGAGGACUGUGAUCUAAUUUUUUUAAUUUAUGUCUUCAGUAUCUGCCGUUUUUAGUUAUUCUCUUCAUUUUUUGUAUGACCAUAGUUAGUCUCUUUCAGAUAUUUUAGGCUCUAAUUAUUCGUUUUUAUUUAUUUAGUCACCCAUUUCUGUUAGUGUUCAGUUUUUAUGUUCAUUGCUCUAUCUGCAAUUUACAUGAGCGAACUUUCUCAGUCCUCACUCUUUAUUCGUUAGUCCAUGUUCGGUCCCUCAUUUUCUCCUUUUUCUUUUUUAGCAGUUUAUGUUGCAUGCUGUAGGAGGAUGGGGGUAUUGAUGAAGAUGUGAACCAUCGAAUCAAAGCCGGAUGGAUGAAGUGGCGCCAAGCUUCUGGCAUUCUCUGUGAUAAGAGAGUGCCACAAAAGCUAAAAGGCAAGU